CUUCAGCCUUGGGACAACCCUCAAUCAAUGGGCACUGCCCUGCGUCAGCGUUGUAGCCUACCCUCCUUCAGGUCAUUUCGGAGUCAGAUUUGUCUUUAUUUUGGAUACAGUCCUUGCUGAGACUGACCCCAAGGGGGCCCAGCUUUACUCAGGUUGCACAUGAAUGGAGGAGCUGACCUUCACCUUUCGGACCUGACCUUGUAUUUACUCCAGUACAAGGUCCUACUGUGGAAGCUUUAAGGAAGUAAAGCAAAAGGCGCGUUGGACAGCAGUGCAAGGAGAGAGCCCAGCCCCCUUGACUUGUACGUGAUGAAAGUUGUCAUAAGUGCUGAUCAAAGUGAAGUCUGAUGACCUCUUGCCUGGCUAAUUUUAAAAUGGUAAACUUUUGGAUCCUACUGAUUCAGAAUCCCUGGGAAUUUCUUUCUUUUUCUAUUCUCUUUCUCUCUUUUUUGAACAAGUAUCCUAGGUGAUUGUUAGGCACGUGAAUAUUUGGUUACCAUCCAGCCAAGGAUUGAGAAUGUCCUACUAGGAUCAACGUUGACCUUGCAGCUGGACAAAAGCAAGCCUGAGCCUUGAGAUUUGACAAAAUGAUCCCAAUUCUUAGGACUUCAGGACAUCAAUUGACCAGAGAGAUAAUUACAAACUGGCCUUGUGGGACAUUUAUUGAA